UGAAAUCUAUGAGGGCUGAUCUUUUGGAAGCGCAAAUAUUGGACAGAAAUAAGAUGGACGUAGGUGUCGAAGCGAAUUGGCCACAGUUCAAGUUUUUCUAAGCUCUCUCAAAAUGCACCACAAUCUGUAUAUAGAUUUCUCAUGCAUAGUCAUGCGGUACGCAAUGAUAUUGGGUAUGAGUACGAGAAAGGUCCUGGGGGAUCAAUUGCUCGCCAACUAUAGAAAAAACCCUCUCCCACUCCCUUUCUCAACUGCUUUUAGGUCCUUUGGACCCACUUUGCGAGCGACUAACAAAAGAAUAUUUCUGGUUCCAGACUGAUGAAAGCCAUGGAGGAUCCUGUUGAGUAUGAAUUGUCUUCUGAUGGCAGUGGACAUCAACCUCAACGCCAUUGCUCCAUCAAUGUGCUCGAUUUAUGUUUAAAGUACCUCUGAACUUUGUGAUGACAUAUGGUUAAUUUAUGCCUUAUUUUAUAGUC
rnacentral:lncRNA from 1 species